AUUGAACGCUGGCGGCAUGCCUUACACAUGCAAGUCGAACGGUAACGGGCCUUCGGGUGCCGACGAGUGGCGAACGGGUGAGUAAUGCAUCGGAACGUACCUUUCAGUGGGGGAUAACGUAGCGAAAGUUACGCUAAUACCGCAUAUUCUGUGAGCAGGAAAAGCAGGGGAUCGCAAGACCUUGCGCUGAUUGAGCGGCCGAUGUCAGAUUAGCUAAGUUGGUGAGGGUAAAAGGCUCACCAAGGCGACGAUCUGUAGCGGGUCUGAGAGGAUGAUCGCCACACUGGAACUGAGACACGGUCCAGAUUCCUAC
rnacentral:rRNA from 1 species